ensembl:lncRNA
UUACGCAAGUACUAGUUUAUUGCAGCACUCUUUCCUCAAGACAUGACUCAUACAAGUGUACCCACGUUACAGAAUCUCUUGGAUGUUGACAAACGCAAACAGCUAUUCUGUACAAUUCCAUGUUCUAAGACACUGUUUACAGGCACAGCACCCACAUAUUCCAUACAUUUUAUGGCAUGGUUAACAUUAACACAUAUGUCAGACUAACAAGACAAUGGUCAAAAAGCAUCCACAUCCAAUAAAUGACAUUACAUUCACACUAACAUUAUGUACUGCAGCCCACCUCAGCAGCAGAGCAGAUCUCAGCCCACCUGAAGUAAAUGCAAGUCUCAGACUGGCCAGGAAGGAGCGCAAAUGGCCUCCGCUGGCCCCGGGCGUUGGUUACGGGGUUGGGUUAGCCCUGCGGUACAAACAAACAAAGCAAAGCUAACCCAACCCCGUAAGCAAGGCAAAGCUAAAGCCAAUUUGGAUGAGAUCAAUUGAUUGCAAAGCUAAAGCCAAUUUGGCUGAGAUCAAUUGAUUGCAAAGCUAAAGCCAAUUUGGCUGAGAUCAAUUGACUGCACCUGCCAAAAUCAGCGCAACUCUCAGAAUGGCCACAAAGGGGCGCGAGUCUCAGACUGGCCGGGAAGGAGCGCAAAUGGCCUCCGCUGGCCUCGGGCGUUGGUUACGGGGUUGGGUUAGCCCUGCGGUACAAACAAACAAAGCAAGGCUAACCCAACCCCGUAAGCAAGGCAAAGCUAAAGCCAAUUUGGAUGAGAUCAAUUGAUUGCAAAGCUAAAGCCAAUUUGGAUGAGAUCAAUUGAUUGCAAAGCUAAAGCCAAUUUGGAUGAGAUCAAUUGAUUGCAAAGCUAAAGCCAAUUUGGAUGAGAUCAAUUGAUUGCAAAGCUAAAGCCAAUUUGGCUGAGAUCAAUUGACUGCACCUGCCAAAAUCAGCGCAACUCUCAGAAUGGCCACAAAGGGGCGCGAGUCUCAGACUGGCCGGGAAGGGGCGCAAAUGGCCUCCGCUGGCCUCGGGCGUUGGUUACGGGGUUGGGUUAGCCCUGCGGUACAAACAAACAAAGCAAAGCUAACCCAACCCCGUAAGCAAGGCAAUGCUAAAGCCAAUUUGGCUGAGAUCAAUUGAUUGCAAAGCUAAAGCCAAUUUGGCUGAGAUAAACUGUUUGUAAAGCUAAAGUCAAUUGGGUUGAUGCAAAAUGACAGCACACGCUGAAAUCAGUGUGACUCUCAGCAUGGCCGUGAGUCUCAAACAUCCUGGAUGGAGCACAAAUGGUCUCUGUCCAGCUACAGGAUGUCAGUUACGGGAUUAGGGUCAGCCACGCUAGCAAACUCAAAGCGAAGGUGACCCAACCGCAUGAGUGAGGCAAACCCUUUGAUGUGCUCUCCCUUGAAAUUCUCUGAAAGAUUGCAGCCGGCUACUUGGACGGGUACAUUGCUUGCUAGAUGAAGAAGUAGCUGAACCGCCUGGCCUAAUGAGUGCUGCUCAGUCCUGUUAAAUGCAGCAGGUAUGCCAUCCUGAGUGCUCUUCAGGUCUGUUCUGUCCAAUAUCUUCAUUGAAGACCUGCAUGACAGCAUGGAGUGCACCCUUGGUAAGUUUGCUGAGGGCAUUGCAUCAGAUUAGCACUAUGUUGGGAGAUAAGAGCUAAUUAGGGUUGAGGUGAAG